ACGGGUGAGUAACGCGUAAAGAACUUGCCCUUUAGACUGGGAUAACAGAGGGAAACUUCUGAUAAUACUGGAUAAGUUAGUAUAUCGCAUGAUAUACAAAUGAAAGCUACGGCACUAAAGGAGAGCUUUGCGUCCUAUUAGCUAGUUGGUAAGGUAAGAGCUUACCAAGGCGAUGAUAGGUAGCCGGCCUGAGAGGGUGGACGGCCACAAGGGGACUGAGAUACGGCCCUUACUCCUACGGGAGGCAGCAGUA
rnacentral:rRNA from 1 species